GUGCUCGCUUCGGCAGCACAUAUACUAAAAUUGGAACGAUACAGAGAAGAUUAGCAUGCCCUGCGCAAGAAAAAGGAAAAGAAAAAAAAAAAAAAAAAACACU